GACGAACGUUGGCGGCGUGCUUAAUACAUGCAAGUCAACUGAAGCAGAGGUAGCAAUAUCGCUGUGGAGGUGGCGCACGGGUGAGUAUCACGUAGGUAAUCUGCCUUCAGGUCUGGCAUAACUCCGGGAAACCGGGGCUAAUAGCAGAUGAUGCAGCGGCUCGACAUCGAGACAGUUGUUAAAGCUAUGGCGCCUGAAGAUGAGCCUGCGUCUGAUUAGCUAGUUGGCGGGGUAACGGCCCACCAAGGCAACGAUCAGUAGCUGGUCUGAGAGGAUGAUCAGCCACACUGGAACUGAGACACGGUCCAGACUCCUACGGGAGGCAGCAGUAAGGAAUAUUGCGCAAUGGGAGAAAUCCUGAAGCAGCAACGCCGCGUGAGGGACGAAGGGCUUUUGCUUGUAAACCUCUGUAGUGAGAGAAAAAAAUCCCAAUCUUUGGGACAUGAUGGUAUCUCAAAAGUAAGCCCCGGCUAACUACGUG
rnacentral:rRNA from 1 species